CCCUUAGAUGUUCUGGGCCGCACGCGUGCUACACUGAACGGUUCAAUGGGUAAGGUAGUGCGAAAGCAUGACCUAAUCUCGAAAUCCGUUCGUGCUGGGGAUAGAAGCUUGCAAUUAUCCCUCUUGAACGAGGAAUACCUUGUAAGCGUGAGUCAUCAUCUCACGCUGAAUACGUCCCUGCCCUUUGUACACACCGCCCGUCGCUCCUACCGAUUGAGUGUUCCGGUGAGGCUUUGGGAGAAUGGCCUCAACAUGAGUUUAUCGUGUUUUGCCGUUUGAACUUAGUCAAACCUUAUCACUUAGAGGAAGGAGAAGUCGUAACA
rnacentral:rRNA from 1 species